AGUCCUACGGGAGGCAGCAGUAGGGAAUCUUCCACAAUGGACGAAAGUCCGAUGGAGCAACGCCGCGUGAGUGAAGAAGGGUUUCGGCUCGUAAAGCUCUGUUGGUAGGGAAGAAAGAUAGAGGUAGUAACUGGCCUUUAUUUUACGGUAAUUACUUAGAAAGUCACGGCUAACUACGUGCCAGCAGACUCGGUAAUACGUAGGUGGCAAGCGGUUUCCGGAUUUAUUGGG
rnacentral:rRNA from 1 species